rnacentral:rRNA from 1 species
CUAGUACGAGAGGACCGGGACGGACGAACCUCUGGUGUGCCAGUUGUCCUGCCAAGGGCAUGGCUGGUUGGCUACGUUCGGAAAGGAUAACCGCUGAAAGCAUCUAAGCGGGAAGCCUGCUUCGAGAUGAGUAUUCCCACCAACUUGAUUGGUUAAGGCUCCCAGUAGACGACUGGGUUGAUAGGCCAGAUGUGGAAGCCCGGUAACGGGUGGAGCUGACUGGUACUAAUAGGCCGAGGGCUUGUCCUCAGUUG